AUAUCAAUAAGCGGAGGAAAAGAAACUAACGAAGAUUUCCCUAGUAACGGCGAGUGAAAAGGAAAUAGUUCAGCGCUGAAUCCCUUAGCCUAUGGUUAAGGGACCUGUAGCGUGAAGGAGAGCCUAUCUGUCGGGUUGUUGGCUUCGGAAUAUCCCUCGAAUGGGAACCCAAAGCAGGUGCGAGGCCUGUAACGAGGUGAUACCCGUCAGUUUGCGCCUCCUUAGAGUCGGGUUACUUGAGAGUGUAGCCCAAAGCGGAAGGUAAACCCCUUCUAAAGCUAAAUAUUACCACGAGACCGAUAGCGCACAAGUA
rnacentral:rRNA from 1 species